rnacentral:rRNA from 1 species
AGAGUUUGAUCAUGGCUCAGAAUCAACGCUGGCGGCGUGCCUAACACAUGCAAGUCGAACGCGAAAGGGGCUUCGGCCCUGAGUAGAGUGGCAAACGGGUGAGUAACACGUGGGUGACCUGCCUCAGAGUGGGGGAUAACGUCCCGAAAGGGACGCUAAUACCGCAUAACAUCCUGCCUUUGGAAAGGCGGAGAUCAAAGCCGGGGAUCGCAAGACCUGGCGCUUGGAGAGGGGCCCGCGUCUGAUUAGCUAGUUGGUAGGGUAAUGGCCUACCAAGGCGACGAUCAGUAUCCGGCCUGAGAGGGCGGACGGACACACUGGGACUGAGACACGGCCCAGACUCCUACGGGAGGCAGCAGUGGGGAAUUGUUCGCAAUGGGCGCAAGCCCGACGACGCAACGCCGCGUGGAGGAUGAAGAUCUUCGGGUCGUAAACUCCUGUCGAGCGGGACGAACACUUAUCCGGAUAAUACCUGGAUAGGCUGACGGUACCGCUAAAGGAAGCCCCGGCUAACUCCGUGCCAGCAGCCGCGGUAAUACGGGGGGGGCAAGCGUUGUUCGGAAUUACUGGGCGUAAAGGGCUCGUAGGCGGCCAACUAAGUCAGACGUGAAAUCCCCAGGCUCAACCUGGGAACUGCGUCUGAUACUGGAUGGCUUGAAUCCGGGAGAGGGAUGCAGAAUUCCAGGCGUAGCGGUGAAAUGCGUAGAUAUCUGGAGGAAUACCGGUGGCGAAAGCGGCAUCCUGGACCGGCAUUGACGCUGAGGAGCGAAAGCCAGGGGAGCAAACGGGAUUAGAUACCCCGGUAGUCCUGCCCUAAACGAUGAAUGCUUGGUGUAACGGGUAUCGAUCCCUGUUGUGCCGAAGCUAACGCAUUAAGCAUUCGCCUGUGAGUACGGUCGCAAGGCUGAACUCAAGGAUGACGGAUCGUCGACUGCAGCAUGCAGCUGCACUGACGUCGUUUACACGUCUGACUGCAAACCUGCGUACCCACUAUCGCUGCAGCACAUCCCCUUCGCAGCUGGCGUAAUAG